GAUUGAACGCUGGCGGCAGGCCUAACACAUGCAAGUCGAACGGUAACAGGAAGCAGCUUGCUGCUUCGCUGACGAGUGGCGGACGGGUGAGUAAUGUCUGGGAAACUGCCUGAUGGAGGGGGAUAACUACUGGAAACGGUAGCUAAUACCGCAUAACGUCGCAAGACCAAAGAGGGGGACCUUCGGGCCUCUUGCCAUCGGAUGUGCCCAGAUGGGAUUAGCUAGUAGGUGGGGUAACGGCUCACCUAGGCGACGAUCCCUAGCUGGUCUGAGAGGAUGACCAGCCACACUGGAACUGAGACACGGUCCAGACUCCUACGGGAGGCAGCAGUGGGGAAUAUUGCACAAUGGGCGCAAGCCUGAUGCAGCCAUGCCGCGUGUAUGAAGAAGGCCUUCGGGUUGUAAAGUACUUUCAGCGGGGAGGAAGGCGAUAAGGUUAAUAACCUUGUCGAUUGACGUUACCCGCAGAAGAAGCACCGGCUAACUCCGUGCCAGCAGCCGCGGUAAUACGGAGGGUGCAAGCGUUUAAUCGGAAUUACUGGGCGUAAAGCGCACGCAGGCGGUCUGUCAAGUCGGAUGUGAAAUCCCCGGGGCUCAACCUGGGAACUGCAUUUCGAAACUGGCAGGCUAGAGUUCUUGUAGAGGGGGGUAGAAUUUCCAGGUGUAGCGGUGAAAUGCGUAGAGAUCUGGAGGAAUACCGGUGGCGAAGGCGGCCCCCUGGACAAAGACUGACGCUCAGGUGCGAAAGCGUGGGGAGCAAACAGGAUUAGAUACCCUGGUAGUCCACGCCGUAAACGAUGUCGACUUGGAGGUUGUGCCCUUGAGGCGUGGCUUCCGGAGCUAACGCGUUAAGUCGACCGCCUGGGGAGUACGGCCGCAAGGUUAAAACUCAAAUGAAUUGACGGGGGCCCGCACAAGCGGUGGAGCAUGUGGUUUAAUUCGAUGCAACGCGAAGAACCUUACCUACUCUUGACAUCCAGAGAACUUUCCAGAGAUGGAUUGGUGCCUUCGGGAACUCUGAGACAGGUGCUGCAUGGCUGUCGUCAGCUCGUGUUGUGAAAUGUUGGGUUAAGUCCCGCAACGAGCGCAACCCUUAUCCUUUGUUGCCAGCGGUUAGGCCGGGAACUCAAAGGAGACUGCCAGUGAUAAACUGGAGGAAGGUGGGGAUGACGUCAAGUCAUCAUGGCCCUUACGAGUAGGGCUACACACGUGCUACAAUGGCGCAUACAAAGAGAAGCGACCUCGCGAGAGCAAGCGGACCUCAUAAAGUGCGUCGUAGUCCGGAUUGGAGUCUGCAACUCGACUCCAUGAAGUCGGAAUCGCUAGUAAUCGUGGAUCAGAAUGCCACGGUGAAUACGUUCCCGGGCCUUGUACACACCGCC
rnacentral:rRNA from 1 species